UGCAUCGGCCGGGGGCCGGGAAUCGAACCCAGGCCGCCCGCAUGGCAGGCGAGCAUUCUACCACUGAACCACCGAUGC
rnacentral:tRNA from 1 species